GUUCUGGUUCCACGACGAACUGGCGGCGGCCCCCUCCCUCUUCUUCACCAAAUCUCCCCCAGAUCUGCUAUUUUAAUCAUCAAAACGAGUAGAUCGGAGCAUCCCCGAGUUGCUUGAGGAUGUUUGAGCCGGAUAAAUAUCCCGGCCUUGAUGAUUAUUACGAGGAGAAGCAUCGUGCUGUGCUAGUGGAAAGAGGGGAGGUUCCUCCAGUACUUCGUUUGAGAGGCCACAACCCACGUGAGUCCUUGAGGUAUGACUGUCGCUAUGAGCCUUAUUUUAGAAGAAUGGAUCUUCUCCAGUUUGUGCUCAACUUUAAAGGCACACCACCAUGGCUGAACUCGACGGCCAUUACCGCCCUUACGGACCGUUGGAGACCGGAGACGCACUCUUUUCACCUUGCUCUUGGUGAGAUGACCGUUACUUUGGAGGAUAUUGC